rnacentral:rRNA from 1 species
CCUACGGGAGGCAGCAGUGGGGAAUAUUGGACAAUGGGGGCAACCCUGAUCCAGCCAUGCCGCGUGUGUGAAGAAGGCCCUCGGGUUGUAAAGCACUUUCAGUGAGGAAGAACGCCUGGUAGUUAAUACCCAUCAGGAAAGACAUCACUCACAGAAGAAGCACCGGCUAACUCCGUGCCAGCAACCGCGGUAAUACGGAGGGUGCGAGCGUUAAUCGGAAUUACUGGGCGUAAAGCGCGCGUAGGUGGCUUGAUAAGCCGGUUGUGAAAGCCCCGGGCUCAACCUGGGAACGGCAUCCGGAACUGUCAAGCUAGAGUGCAGGAGAGGAAGGUAGAAUUCCCGGUGUAGCGGUGAAAUGCGUAGAGAUCGGGAGGAAUACCAGUGGCGAAGGCGGCCUUCUGGACUGACACUGACACUGAGGUGCGAAAGCGUGGGUAGCAAACAGGAUUAGAUACCCCGGUAGUC